AGAGGAAGUAAAAGUCGUAACAAGGUUUCCGUAGGUGAACCUGCGGAAGGAUCAUUACCGAGUUAGGGUCUUAUAGGCCCGACCUCCAACCCUUUGUUUACUACACCAUGUUGCUUUGGCGGGCCCGCCUUUUGGGGCCGCCGGGGGUUUACAAGCCCCUGGUCAGUGUUCGCCAGUAGCCUUAUUAAAUUCUUUUAUAAUUAUGUUGUCUGAGUAUAAAUAUAAAUCGUUAAAACUUUCAACAACGGAUCUCUUGGUUCUGGCAUCGAUGAAGAACGCAGCGAAAUGCGAUAAGUAAUGCGAAUUGCAGAAUUCAGUGAGUCAUCGAAUCUUUGAACGCAUAUUGCGCCCUUUGGCAUUCCGAAGGGCAUGCCUGUUCGAGCGUCAUUAUCAACCAUCAAGCCUGGCUUGUCGUUGGACCUCUUUACCGCUGAAAUAUGUGGUAGGUCCGAAAGAUAAUGACGGCGUCGUGUUUGACCCUAGAUGCAACGAGCUUUUUAUAGCACGCAUUGAAGUGGUCGGCCGACCCGGUCUUUAACCAUCAUUUUCUAAGGUUGACCUCGGAUCAGGUAGGAAUAC
rnacentral:rRNA from 1 species